CAGUCGCCGCGGGAAUACGAAGGGGGCUAGCGUUGUUCGGAUUUACUGGGCGUAAAGCGCACGUAGGCGGAUCCUUAAGUCAGAGGUGAAAUCCCAAGGCUCAACCUUGGAACUGCCUUUGAUACUGGGGAUCUCGAGUUCGGGAGAGGUGAGUGGAACUGCGAGUGUAGAGGUGAAAUUCGUAGAUAUUCGCAAGAACACCAGUGGCGAAGGCGGCUCACUGGCCCAAUACUGACGCUGAGGUGCGAAAGCGUGGGGAGCAAACAGGAUUAGAUACCCGAGUAGUCCCUGUCUCUUAUAC
rnacentral:rRNA from 1 species